GUUACAACCCACAUUUUUUAUCUAGUCAAAGUCAAUAGUGGAAUUUUCAAAGUCAAGUCCAAUGAGGACUUGUAUGAAAUAAAUUAUUUUUAUUGGGACUUGAUUGACCAAAUCAUUUUAUUUGGGUUUAUUUUGCAAUUGGCAAAAUAUAAAGGCUGAAUUGGAUAUAUUUAAAAGUUUGGAAUUUAUAUAUAUACUUUUGAAAGUUUAAGGAUUAAAGGUUACUAAAAAGUAAAGUUAAGGGACUUAAUUUGCAAUUAUGGGAUUGUGGACAAUUAAUUCAACCUUUGACCCAUUUUUUUUCUCAUUUUCACACCAAAACACACACACACCUUACGGGAAGCAGAACCAGCCGAGAAAGAAGAGAAAAAAGAGGAAAAGAAAAAGGGAAAAAAAGAAAAGAAAAAGGAAGAAGAAGGGGAAAAAGAAAAGGAAAGGAGGUAAGGUUGAUAUCUUCAAGUUGGGUUUAAUUUUUCCAUUUGUCUUAGAUGAUUAAGUAUGGUUUAUAUUAAAAUUUUUAGGGUUUUAUCAUGUAAAAAUAAAAUGUUAAAUUUAUGUGAUAUAUGUACGAUUUGGAGCUCAAGCUUAGGGAUUAAUUAUGUUUCAGUUUUAAAAGGUGUUUAGGCAAGGAAAAUUUUGGAAACCCUAGAAUCCGAUUUUGGGGAUUUUAAUUAAUUAAUUGUGGAAGUGAUUAUAUAAAUGGAAUAUUUCAUUUGGGAGUUGAUUUUAAGGAGCAAAUGUAUAUUAGAUGGGUGGAAAUUAUGGUCACUAGUUUCAUUACAUUGGAAAGUAAAAUUAGUUUUAACUUGGGAAGAAGGUUUUGUUGAUAAAUUAGUUAUUAGAAAAGGGAUUAGAAAGUGGGAUUAGCUCCAUUGAUCAAAAGAAUAUUUGAGAAUUCAUUCGAGCAUCGACCAAUUUUGGUUAACUAUUAUAGAAGUAGAUUUUAAAGUUUCUUAAUUUAAAAGUAGUUGAUUAGCCAUCUUAUUAUGUAUUCCAGGUGGUGACGAGGAAGUUGGAAGAGCCUAUCGACCAGUUUAGGUUCAGCUUGUGUUAUGUGAGUGGAUAAAUUUAUUUAUUUUUAGAAAUAAGUAUUUAUUUAAUUUUGAAGUUACGUAUUUUAUAAGUUGAGUUGAUAGCAUGAUUUUUCAAAAUAAAACGAAUUUUAUUAUCAAAUAUUUUUAAAAGUUAAAUUCAGUUCAGUUAAAUUCUUUCAUUGACAUAUUAUUUUAGUAUUAAAUAUUUCAGUAUAUUCAAAAUUAUUUUUAAAACCACCAGAAAGUACCCAAGUGAUUUUACCCUCGUCUGCACUGGUGUGAAUGUGUUUCCACAGUGUAUGACUUCAUAUGGUUAUUUUACCCACUCUGCGCUAGUGUGAAUGUGUUUCCACAGCGUAUGAUCAGUAUAGUGAUUUUACCCGCUCUGCACUAUUGUGAAUGUGUUUCCAUAGUGUAUGACCAUUUUAUAGCUCUGCGCGCGUAUGACCAGAAUUUCAGAAUUUCAGAAUUACAGAAUUUCAGAAUUUAAUGACCUUGCUAUGUAUAUCGAGAUUAAUCGAUACACGAGUAUGGUUAUUCAGGGUACAUUUUUGGUGUGAUGUUUCAGUAUUACAUAGC
rnacentral:lncRNA from 1 species